UGUUCUCUACUGGUUAUGCUCCAGCUUCAUGGGCCUUUCACAGAACUUGCUGCUGCGUUCUCCUAGGUUUCGCCAAUUUUGCCGUAUACCGUUGACCAAGGGAGAUUCAGACACUCCUUAUAAGGACCUCUUUGCUGCUUUCUACGCCAAGUACAUUUCAAGGAAAUGACAUACUUUUCAGCGAUUUUGAAACAGAAAAAAAUCCUCAGACUGACAACAUGGGGGCCUUCAGGCCCUGAAAUGCCUCUGGUGACUCCCGGUUAAGAAAUCUUAUUUGAAUGGAACAUACAUUAGCAGUGAGUCAUUUUGUGAUUUUUUUUAAAAAAAUGGACUUGAGAUACAUGGUGGUAGAGGAGUCCAUGCAUGCAAGAAAGUACCUAAUAUGGUAGGUGGUGUGCCUCUUAACCACAUUCUGAAA